rnacentral:rRNA from 1 species
GAUGAACGCUAGCUACAGGCUUAACACAUGCGAGUCGAGGGGUAACGAGAGGAAAGCUUGCUUUCCUUGUCGACGACCGGCGCACGGGUGAGUAACGCGUAUCCAACCUGCCCCCAACUAAGGAAUAACCUUGCGAAAGUAAGACUAAUACCUUAUAAUUUCCUCAGAUGACAUCUGACGAGGAAUAAAGAUUUAUCGGUUGUGGAUGGGGAUGCGUCUGAUUAGCUUGUUGGCGGGGUAACGGCCCACCAAGGCAACGAUCAGUAGGGGUUCUGAGAGGAAGGUCCCCCACAUUGGAACUGAGACACGGUCCAAACUCCUACGGGAGGCAGCAGUGAGGAAUAUUGGUCAAUGGGCGGAAGCCUGAACCAGCCAAGUAGCGUGCAGGAUGACGGCCCUAUGGGUUGUAAACUGCUUUUAUACAGGAAUAAAGUUAGCCACGUGUGGUUAUUUGUAGGUACUGUAUGAAUAAGGACCGGCUAAUUCCGUGCCAGCAGCCGCGGUAA